UGCCCUGUGUGCUCUGCCUCCUGCGUGCUGCUUUCAAAUUGUAUACGGUCAGGAACAGGGGUGCUUUCCCUCCGUGUUGUACAGCUCUGAACAUGUUUAGUUUGCCUGCCAAAUAAGCCAUGAUGAGGUAUCCGCAUUUCCUCCACCUCCUCCACGAGCUCUGCUCCAUUUUCUCCUUUUGAAGCCUGCAAAAUUGGUAACAGUGUUGCAGGAAACAAACGGUUUCUGACUCAUCCAUCAUGAGACAUCUAACAGUUCAGUCAGAUGCAGAAGAAAUGAAAAGACCGUUCAUCCAUUACACAGAGCAAUGGGCACAAUGACAUUCACCAUGGCUUUUACCUGCUUU